rnacentral:lncRNA from 1 species
UGGGAGAGGGGCGAAGGGGAGUGAGAGAGGGAAGGGUAGACGACGAGAGAGAAGGAGAGGGGGAGGAGGAAGAGAACUGAGAGCGCCAAGAAAUGGCGGGAGUGAGCAUUGAUUAUGCGCUUGGUCUCGGAGAGCACUCCGCCGAGGUUUAGGCUGUGUGCUGACAUGGAUGCCGGAGGUGAAGUUUCAGGCUUUCUGUAGAGAGAGAGAGAGAGAAGAUGAUUCGAGAAGACGAUGAAGUCGAGAGAUGGCAGCGGAUAUGAACAAUUUCUGAGCUGAGUCCAACUUUCGUGCUAUCUUAUUGAUUAUUUUUUUCUUUCUUUUUUAUCGGUUUAUAUAUACAGCAGAGAACGCACGUAUUUUAAUGAAUAAAUUGUUAUGUGUGUAAAUUUAUACUCCAUUUUAUAGCAAUAUUUAUCAUUUUAAUGUAUUUUUUGAACUAAUUAUUGAUUAAUAUUUUAAAAGUAUAAUCUUAUAGAACUCAUAAAAUAAUAAUAAAAAUUUAAUUUUAUUUAAUUAAACAUCACCUAGUUUUGUCUUCAUAUUUAUUUUAUAGGUUUCAUCUUUACAUAAUUAAUUUAAUUCCAAAGAUUUUAGUAAAUUAAAAUUGUAAUUCUUUGUAUUUUUAAUUAUAAAUUAUUAAAAAUUAUAUAAUAAGAAAUAGUAACUUGUAUGAUGAAUAGUCCUAAUGGAUAGUACUUUAAUAAAAAUUGAGUUAAGUAUCAGAUUAGCCCUUAACGUGGAAGCCCAUAUGACAUUGAGCACCUUAUGGCAAGGGGGGUAUCAAAUAAACCCCUACGGUAAUAAAAAUCAAACAAAUAAACCCUAAACCCUAACGCCAACAUAAUGCCGUUUACUUAAUAUAUUUUUUUCCAUUUUUUAAUCCGUGGGUCCCACCAGAAAUAUUUGAGCGGGUGUUGGUAUUAGACAAGGCAUAUAUGAAUCGACGCUACUUCGUUUCUUCCUCAUUCGAACUCGAAAAUUCCAAACAUCAAUGAUUUAAUGAUGAUGAUUGCAGCUAUUCUUACAUUCUUGUAAACANGGCUGACAAAAAAAAUGAAAUAUUUGAAUUGAACGAAAAUACUAUUAAUAAGUUUGAAUUGAACGAUCAAGAAUUGAAGUUGUGAAAUAUAUGAGCAAGAGCAUGUGAAUGUGAACUAUAUUUUGCAUAAUGAAUGUGGAAAAACAUAUGUAAAACCAAGAGCUCAGCAUCUGUCUAUUGAAAACCAGUUCUACACAGUCAAAGGUGCUCAACAAGGCAACAUGCCUCUUGCCUGAAAUAUAAGGUGGCAAAAAUUCAGCGACGAGCGAUGAACACGUUAAACCUUGAUGAUGGUAAUGAAGUUUACUUAUUAGUUUCAUUUAUCAGAACUCUCACAAUCAAAUAUUGCCUUGCAAGUAUUAACAUCACAAACAUACCAUAAUAAGAUUGCAGUAGUUGAGUGAUAAACCCUGCAAACACACACACAAAUCCAACAGUAAAACCUCACUUAGUCUUCCUAUCUUCCACAAAGAUGAAUCCAUUGCCAUCUCAAGUCUAAGAAGCUUCAAAAAAGGCAAUCUCAUUCAAAAAGAUCAUUUUUUUUAUUAAGCACUGAGUAAAACCAGAGGCUUUAACUAUCACAAGUCUACAUCUCCUGUACAACCCACAACUACACAAGAUACACCUCUAACAGCAUAUGAGAAGCAUUGAAACAAGAUAUAGCAAGUCAUGAGCAGGAAAAUUCUACAAGGUUUAAGCUGCAAACCUCAGCUACACGACGUAGACAACGUGGGAAAGCUUCCCAUCAUCGAAAGGCAGCCGGAUAUACUCCUGCGCGAACUCCUCCGCAAUCUCAAAGGCAAGCUCCCCCUGCAAAGCCUUGCAAUACAUAUACAGCACAGCAGUAGCCGCCACACUGUAGAGCAUCAGAAUCGUCAUAAACCCCGUGUAGACGACGGCCUGAAACACGAAUGCCCAGCUAAUCCAGUCCCUGCUGCUCAAUCCGCCCGCGCUGGGCACCACCGUCGAGCACAGCAAGCCCAGGAAGCCAAGCAGCGAUUCAAACAACAGAAUCAAGCAAAGCGCCACGCCUCGCAUCCCUCUCACCAAGCACGCGCUCCUCCUCAGCGCCGCAAACCCCCAUUUCGACUCCACAACGACGAUCACGAACGACAGGCACCACUCCACUUGCAGGUAAAUCAGCACACCCAAGAGCAGAGCAGUGAUCAAGGCAACAAAUCCCAAGAAAUACAAAUUGGUAUAGUCGAUUUCAACCCCAAUUAGGGCUAGGGCAUUAUACACCAUCAUGGUAAAACCCCCAAACUCCGAAAGCAAUUAACCCCACUAAUGAACUUGCUGAUAAUUAUGGUUCCAAUUAGGGGUAGAAACGAUAUGAGCACAUACUUAAUUGAGGAAAUAAACUUCACCGGCCUGCCGUAGAAGCCGUGGAAGGUGCUGUGGGUGAUUGAGGCGGUGGCGCAGAGGGAUAAGAAGGCGACGAAGAGGGCGUAGGCAGUUGCGAGGAUGAAGUGGGAUCUGGCGAUGGGUGGGAGGUCCGGCGAGGAGAAGAAGAAGAGGGAGCGGUGGUAGUGGGAAAGGGGCGAGGGAGUGAGAGAGGGAAGGGUAGACGACGAGAGAGAAGGAGAGCGGGAGGAGGAAGAGAACUGAGAGCGCCAAGAAAUGGCGGGAGUGAGCAUUGAUUAUGCGCUUGGUCUCGGAGAGCACUCCGCGAGGUUUAGGCUGUGUGCUGACAUGGAUGCCGGAGGUGAAGUUUCAGGCUUUCUGUAGAGAGAGAGAGAGAGAAGAUGAUUCGAGAAGACGAUGAAGUGGAGAGAUGGCAGCGGAUAUGAACAAUUUCUGAGCUGAGUCCAACUUUCGUGCUAUCUUAUUGAUUUUUUUUUUCUUUCUUUUUUAUCGGUUUAUAUAUAGAGAAC